GAUGAACGCUGGCGGCGUGCCUAAUACAUGCAAGUCGAGCGAAGCGGGGGCGGGUGAGUAACACGUGUAUAACACCCCAUAUGACUGGGAUAACUUCGGGAAACCGGAGCUAAACCGGAUACUUAUAGAUGGAUCCGCGCUGCAUUAGCUAGUUGGUAAGCUAACGGCUUACCAAGGCAACGAUGCAUAGCCGAACUGAGAGGUGGAGCGGCCAAACUGGAACUGAGACACGGUCAAGACUCCUACGGGAGGCAGAAGUGGGGAAUCUUCCGCAAUGGGCGAAAGCCUGACGGAGCAACGCGGCGGGAGUGAUGAAGGCCUUGGGUGGGUAAACCCCUGUUAUUGGGGAGGCGGUACCUGAUCAGAAAGCCACGGCUAACUACGUGCCAGCAGCCGCGGUAAUAC
rnacentral:rRNA from 1 species